UACGUAGGUGGCGAGCGUUAUCCGGAUUUACUGGGUGUAAAGGGCGUGUAGGCGGGCUUGCAAGUCAGAUGUGAAAACUAUGGGCUCAACCCAUAGCCUGCAUUUGAAACUGUUUCCCUUGAGUGUCGGAGAGGUAAUCGGAAUUCCUAGUGUAGCGGUGAAAUGCGUAGAUAUUAGGAAGAACACCAGUGGCGAAGGCGGAUUACUGGACGAUAACUGACGGUGAGGCGCGAAAGCGUGGGGAGCAAACAGG
rnacentral:rRNA from 1 species